UUUGAGGUUAGUACCUGAGAAGCUAUAUCUCAGCUGUAGUUAAGGAAUUAGCUCAAAUUUCUUGUUAACUUGCGAUUUAGCAUCGAAAUUUGAUGCGUUUUGGUUUCACUGCCUCUAACUGAAUUCGAGAAGGUUUUCAGCAGUAAAGAGGGGUUCUUGUGACUGUGAAGGAACUACUUUAGCUCAGUAAAGGAGUUGCUAUAAAGCUGAACAGGUUAUUAAACCCCAUUAAACUAAAUUGGUGACCUUGAGAACUUAUCUGCAGGGUGUCUUAGCCAGGGCAGGGUUAUAAUUAACCCUUGGAUCAUUUUCAGCUGGUCGGUGAGAGCUUUUGGAAGCUUAACUUGAGCAGGAGUGAGGCCUCGUGGGGCUGAUUUGGGACCCUUGUAAAUUGAUUUGGAGAUUAGUACGAGAGCCAUCUACAGGAGAGGCUAGGGAUCGUGGCAAGGG